rnacentral:rRNA from 1 species
CUUAGCUUGCUAAGGCCGAUGGCGACCGGCGCACGGGUGAGUAACACGUAUCCAACCUGCCGUCUACUCUUGGACAGCCUUCUGAAAGGAAGAUUAAUACAAGAUGGCAUCAUGAGUCCGCAUGUUCACAUGAUUAAAGGUAUUCCGGUAGACGAUGGGGAUGCGUUCCAUUAGAUAGUAGGCGGGGUAACGGCCCACCUAGUCUUCGAUGGAUAGGGGUUCUGAGAGGAAGGUCCCCCACAUUGGAACUGAGACACGGUCCAAACUCCUACGGGAGGCAGCAGUGAGGAAUAUUGGUCAAUGGGCGAGAGCCUGAACCAGCCAAGUAGCGUGAAGGAUGACUGCCCUAUGGGUUGUAAACUUCUUUUAUAAAGGAAUAAAGUCGGGUAUGGAUACCCGUUUGCAUGUACUUUAUGAAUAAGGAUCGGCUAACUCCGUGCCAGCAGCCGCGGUAAUACGGAGGAUCCGAGCGUUAUCCGGAUUUAUUGGGUUUAAAGGGAGCGUAGAUGGAUGUUUAAGUCAGUUGUGAAAGUUUGCGGCUCAACCGUAAAAUUGCAGUUGAUACUGGAUAUCUUGAGUGCAGUUGAGGCAGGCGGAAUUCGUGGUGUAGCGGUGAAAUGCUUAGAUAUCACGAAGAACUCCGAUUGCGAAGGCAG